AACGAACGCCGGCGGCGUGCCUAACACAUGCAAGUCGAGCGCGAAAAGGGCAACCUGAGUAGAGCGGCGCACGGGUGCGUAACACGUGGGUAAUCUGCCUUAGAGUCGAGGAUAACCUUCCGAAAGGUUGGCUCAUACUCGGUAAGCUUACGGUGUCUUCGGACGCUGUGGGAAAAGUAGGCCUCUGGUUCCAAGCUUCCGCGCUGAGAUGAUCCCGCGGACCAUCAGCUAGUCGGCGGUGUAACGGACCCCCAAGGCAACGACGGGUAGCUGGUCUGAGAGGACGAUCAGCCACACUGGAACUGAGACACGGUCCAGACUCCUACGGGAGGCAGCAGUGGGGAAUUUUCCACAAUGGGCGAAAGCCUGAUGGAGCAACGCCGCGUGUGUGAUGAAGGUUUUCGGAUCGUAAAGCACUUUCGACCGGGACGAAAAACCUCUGGCUAACAUCCAGGGGCCUGACGGUACCGGGAGAAGCAGCACCGGCUAACUCUGUGCCAGCCGCCGCAGUAA
rnacentral:rRNA from 1 species